AGCCUCGGAGGACCCAAGUGGGACCGGGGGCGGAGAAGGAAAUUCUGGGUAGCAUCUGUGCCUCACCACGGUCUGCUGGAUGGGAGAUCAGAAGCUCUGGGUAAUUCAGUUCCGGGGGAGGAGGAAAAACAAGACAAAUCUCCACUUGCCCAUCUAUAGAACAGGACCAGCCCCACCAUUCAGUGUAACAGGAGACAUCCUGGCACCUGGGUGAGCUUUCUCCGGAAAGGGAGGUUGGUCUGCCGCCCCCUCCCUCUGUGCUGGUGACGUUUUUCCCCUCAUGGAGACUGCAGAUUGCUAAUAUUGAGAAGAACUGUCCUCCUGGGCUCAUGGCUUCUUCCUGUGUCUUCAAGGCCGUCAGCACAGCAUCUAGCUUCAGAGAAAGAAGAGGGAGAUUUGAGACACAGACACAGAGCAGGUCAUAUGAAGACAGAGAAUGCAGAGACUGGGGUGAUGCAGCCACAAGCCAAGGAUUGCCAGGAGCCCCCAGAAGCUGGGAGACGAAGGAAGGACCUUCCCUUGGAGCCUACAGAGGGAGCUUGGCUCUGCCAAUACCUUAAUUUCAGACUUUU